AGUAAGAGGAAAAUCCGUCGAUUUCAAAAAUCAUGAGGGUUCAAGUCCC
rnacentral:tRNA from 66 species